rnacentral:rRNA from 1 species
AUUGAACGCUGGCGGCAGGCCUAACACAUGCAAGUCGAACGAGUGGCGGACGGGUGAGUAAUGUCUGGGAAACUGCCUGAUGGAGGGGGAUAACUACUGGAAACGGUAGCUAAUACCGCAUACCCUCAGAUGUGCCCAGAUGGGAUUAGCUUGUUGGUGGGGUAACGGCUCACCAAGGCGACGAUCCCUAGCUGGUCUGAGAGGAUGACCAGCCACACUGGAACUGAGACACGGUCCAGACUCCUACGGGAGGCAGCAGUGGGGAAUAUUGGACAAUGGGGGCAAGCCGGAUGCAGCCAUGCCGCGUGUAUGAAGAAGGCCUUCGGGUUGUAAAGUACUUUCGGCAGGGAGGCGUUACCCGCAGAAGAAGCACCGGCUAACUCCGUGCCAGCCGCCGCGGUAAUAC